rnacentral:lncRNA from 1 species
CCUGCGUAACUGCAAAGGCUGGAUUUCUUCCAAAUAAACAGAUAAAAACAGUAUGGAACUUUUAUCUUUUAAUGAUAAUGACAACACAUCAUGUUUCACUAAAAGUUUCCUGCUGAAUUUUUUUCUGAUUUCUAGAGUUUCAAUAAAAUGUAAUUAUACUUUAUAAUUCCACUCUUUUAAUCUUCACUUCAAAAACUAUUCACAGUUAGCAAGUUUGCUAGGCAUGGAGAGUGGGUGAGAAGAGGGAGCGGACGUCCCCCCACAUCGGGCUGCUCAGAAAUUCUGUCUUGGGGUAAACCUGUCAGGAAACAGCGCAAACCAAGCUGCUUUGCAUUCAGAUUAAUACCUAGUUUAAUUUGAAUAGAAAAUAGCUCCAUUUAUGUGGUUAUUAAGGAAAAGUAGUGAAAGCGUUUGGCAAUGAAUGGAUGUUUAAGCUAGGAUACACUUGCAACCUAUGCCUUUAUAAUUCUUGUUCCUUUUUUCUUCUUCUUUUUUAAUCCUGAAGGGAAUAUACUUUGGUAUCAGGAUGCUUUCCUAUCAGUAGAUAAGGCAUUAAAACAAAGCAAUACCUAUAAAAUCCAAUUUGUUAAUAUGCAGAGAGUCAGAAAGUUCCCAUUACCACAACACCGAAUUAGAUUUCAGGGGUUUUGUUCGAGUAAAUCUUCACAUCUUGUCCUUUGCUCUGUUCAGAGAAAUGCCAGCAAUUUCAUUAAGAACUUCUGCUGCUAAAUGAUUUCAUGGAGUUGUUUAGCAGGGCAGAGAAGAGGAGGAGGAGAGGAAUGCCACAAUUAUACCUUCCUCUUCCAGCUCAGAAGGGCCAGACUUAAAGAAAUUGGUUUUGUGCAGUUACAUUCAUAGGAAAAAGUAUGGAAAAAAAAAAAAAAAAGAAAGGGAACGGUGUGCCUCAGCUGGGCAGCGUGGUGGAGGCAGACGGCUCGGAGGAGACCUGUCGCAACGCUUGACUCCUUCUGCUCGUGCAGGUUUGGCGCUUAAGCUAAUUUGUAAGCAUUUAGGGCCGGACUCUGAUCUCCCUCCUGCCGCAGCCGCUCCACAGAGGCUGGCGAGCGCUUCCCAGCAGACACGAGGUGGGGAACCUCGCCGGCUGGAUUUGGUCCCGUCUCCGAUGUUUUGUGCUGCCGGGUGUGGGUGUAAGUAAUUCUGACAAAGCGAGGUGCUGGAGGUGGAGC